rnacentral:rRNA from 1 species
GAUGAACGCUGGCGGCGUGCCUAAUACAUGCCAGUCGAGCGAACGGACGAGAAGCUUGCUUCUCUGAUGUUAGCGGCGGACGGGUGAGUAACACGUGGAUAACCUACCUAUAAGACUGGGAUAACUUCGGGAAACCGGAGCUAAUACCGGAUAAUAUUUUGAACCGCAUGGUUCAAAAGUGAAAGACGGUCUUGCUGUCACUUAUAGAUGGAUCCGCGCUGCAUUAGCUAGUUGGUAAGGUAACGGCUUACCAAGGCAACGAUGCAUAGCCGACCUGAGAGGGUGAUCGGCCACACUGGAACUGAGACACGGGCCAGACUCCUACGGGAGGCAGCAGUAGGGAAUCUUCCGCAAUGGGCGGAAGCCUGACGGAGCAACGCCGCGUGAGUGAUGAAGGUCUUCGGAUCGUAAAACUCUGUUAUUAGGGAAGAACAUAUGUGGAAGUAACUGAGCACAUCUUGACGGUACCUAAUCAGAAAGCCACGGCUAACUACGGGC